rnacentral:lncRNA from 1 species
GCUUCGAGUCCCCGAUCAGGGCAUGAUUUGACCCCUGUUUGUCGAUCUCCUCAACAUUCUAAGGCCUGCACCACCUCAGACUUUGCUACCGAGAGAUAGUUUCAGAAGAUCAAUAAGUGGAUCGAUGCGAUCCACAAUAACCCCUCAGCUCCCUAUGAUGGGUUCAAUAGUGAACCACACUUUGCUCCGAGGAUUAUGC